rfam:Strongylocentrotus purpuratus Contig120549_fixed, whole genome shotgun sequence.
UUACAUCAACCCUGUAGAUCCGAAUUUGUGUCCGAGUUUCUCGCCUCUGGUAGUCACAGAUUCGUAUCUCUGGGUAACUGUAUC